AUACGGAAGGUCCUGGUGUUAUCCGGAUUUAUUGGGCGUAAAGCGAGCGCAGGCGGUUUUUUAAGUCUGAUGUGAAAGCCUUCGGCUUAACCGAAGAAGUGCAUCGGAAACUGGGAAACUUGAGUGCAGAAGAGGACAGUGGAACUCCAUGUGUAGCGGUGAAAUGCGUAGAUAUAUGGAAGAACACCAGUGGCGAAGGCGGCUGUCUGGUCUGUAACUGACGCUGAGGCUCGAAAGCAUGGGUAGCGAACAGGAUUAGAUACCCUGGUAGUCCAUGCCGUAAACGAUGAAUGCUAAGUGUUGGAGGGUUUCCGCCCUUCAGUGCUGCAGCUAACGCAUUAAGCAUUCCGCCUGGGGAGUACGACCGCAAGGUUGAA
rnacentral:rRNA from 1 species